rnacentral:rRNA from 1 species
UACCAGCACCCCGAGUGGUCGGGACGUUUAUUGGGCCUAAAGCGUCCGUAGCCGGUUCUACAAGUCUUCCGUUAAAUCCACCUGCUCAACAGAUGGGCUGCGGAAGGUACUAUGGAGCUAGGAGGCGGGAGAGGCAAGCGGUACUCGAUGGGUAGGGGUAAAAUCCGUUGAUCCAUUGAAGACCACCAGUGGCGAAGGCGGCUUGCCAGAACGCGCUCGACGGUGAGGGAUGAAAGCUGGGGGAGCAAACCGG